GCUGGGGUGCAGCUCAGUGACAGAGUGCUUGUCUGGCAAGCAUGAGGCCCUGGGUUCGAUCCCCAACACCAGCA
rnacentral:tRNA from 1 species